GAUGAACGCUGGCGGCGUGCCUAAUACAUGCAAGUCGAGCGAACGGACGAGAAGCUUGCUUUUCUGAUGUUAGCGGCGGACGGGUGAGUAACACGUGGAUAACCUACCUAUAAGACUGGGAUAACUUCGGGAAACCGGAGCUAAUACCGGAUAAUAUUUUGAACCGCAUGGUUCAAAAGUGAAAGACGGUCUUGCUGUCACUUAUAGAUGGAUCCGCGCUGCAUUAGCUAGUUGGUAAGGUAACGGCUUACCAAGGCAACGAUGCAUAGCCGACCUGAGAGAGUGAUCGGCCACACUGGAACUUGAACACGGUCCAGACUCCUACGAGAGGCAGCAGUAGGGAAUCUUCCGCAAUGGGCGAAAGCCUGACGGAGCAACGCCGCGUGAGUGAUGAAGGUCUUCGGAUCGUAAAACUCUGUUAUUAGGGAAGAACAUAUGUGUAAGUAACUGUGCACAGCUUGACGGUACCUAAUCAGAAAGCCACGGCUAACUACGUG
rnacentral:rRNA from 1 species